rnacentral:lncRNA from 1 species
UUUCAACUUCAGAAAUGGUGUGAGCAUCAAUCUGUAUCUUAACCUGUGGCUAAGCCUGUGUCUCUGUUGCCCCUUCUACAGCCUGUCACUUUCCAGUUCUAAAGGAAAAUUUGAGCCCUCAGCAGACUUGGCAGAGCAAGAGGUGUAAAUCUUCAAAGCAGAGAUGCAUUCACAGAAAUGCAAUGUAGGAGAAUUCUUCUUAUGCAACUGAAUGGCUCUGGAACAGUUUUAACAAAGGGAGAGAACUUCAAAAGAGAGGGAGCAGCCAAAGGGAUGAUCCAGACUAGACCAAGUCUCCAAAACAAGCUGUGUGGGAACAAAGCAAUUUAAACGGGAAAUGUGGAGAAUUCUUGGGGGUUUUUUCCGUUCUUCCCUCCCCAUGUUCCAGCAAAUGUGGCCUAUCGGAAAACUGGAGAUCACUAGGGCAGAAGCAAGGUCCCAUCAUGAGAUGCUCUUUGCCUGUCUCUAUCCCUACCAUGGCUCCUGCCUAUCUGCACUGAUCUUUGGGAGGAAGUCGCUGGGGAGAAAAACAAAGUAACUCCUGCCCUGUUGCAUAAUGAAGAAACCAGCCUCUGUUAGAGAUAAGAUACUUUCUUUGCUUUUCUUGAAACAUUGUGAACUUUCAAGCUUGGCAAGGAUGUUUUGAAUUAUAUCUAACAAUAAACUUCAACCUUUUAUCA